UACGAAGGGGGGCUAGCGUUGUUCGGAGUUACUGGGCGUAAAGGGCGCGUAGGCGGCCCUCCAAGUUCGGGCGUGAAAGGCCCACGGACUCAACCGUGGAAUUGCGCUCGAGACUGAAGGGCUCGAGGACGGGAGAGGAUGGUGGAAUUCCCAGUGUAGAGGUGAAAAUUCGUAGAUAUUGGGAAGAACACCGGUGGCGAAGGCGGCCAUCUGGACCGUAGUCUGACGCUGAGGCGCGAAAGCGUGGGGAGCAACAGG
rnacentral:rRNA from 1 species